rnacentral:rRNA from 1 species
AUUCUGUGAGCAGGAAAGCGAGGGGAUCGCAAGACCUUGCGCUGAUUGAGCGGCCGAUAUCAGAUUAGCUAGUUGGUGAGGUAAAGGCUCACCAAGGCGACGAUCUGUAGCGGGUCUGAGAGGAUGAUCCGCCACACUGGAACUGAGACACGGUCCAGACUCCUACGGGAGGCAGCAGUGGGGAAUUUUUGGACAAUGGGCGCAAGCCUGAUCCAGCCAUGCCGCGUGAGUGAAGAAGGCCUUCGGGUUGUAAAGCUCUUUCGGCCGGGAAGAAAUCGCACGGGUUAAUACCCUGUGUGGAUGACGGUACCGGAAUAAGAAGCACCGGCUAACUACGUA